rnacentral:rRNA from 1 species
GACGAACGCUGGCGGCGUGCUUAACACAUGCAAGUCGAACGGAAAGGCCCUGCUUUUGUGGGGUGCUCGAGUGGCGAACGGGUGAGUAACACGUGAGUAACCUGCCCUUGACUUUGGGAUAAAUUCAGGAAACUGGGGCUAAUACCGGAUAGGAGCUCCUGCUGCAUGGUGGGGGUUGGAAAGUUUCGGCGGUUGGGGAUGGACUCGCGGCUUAUCAGCUUGUUGGUGGGGUAGUGGCUUACCAAGGCUUUGACGGGUAGCCGGCCUGAGAGGGUGACCGGCCACAUGGGGACUGAGAGACGGCCCAGACUCCUACGGGAGGCAGCAGUGGGAAAUAUUGCACAAUGGGCGGAAGCCUGAUGCAGCAACGCCGCGUGCGGGAUGACGGCCUUCGGGUUGUAAACCGCUUUCGCCUGUGACGAAGCGUGAGUGACGGUAAUGGGUAAAGAAGCACCGGCUAACUACGUG